rnacentral:rRNA from 1 species
GAUGAACGCUGGCGGCGUGCUUAACACAUGCAAGUCGAACGAAGCACUUAAGAUUGAUUCUUCGGAUGACGUCUUUUGUGACUUAGUGGCGGACGGGUGAGUAACGCGUGGGUAACCUGCCUCACACAGGUGGAUAACAGUUAGAAAUGACUGCUAAUACCGCAUAACCCGAUAGGAUCGCAUGAUCCAGACGGAAAAGAUUUAUCGGUGUGAGAUGGACCCGCGUCUGAUUAGCUAGUUGGUGAGGUAACGGCCCACCAAGGCGACGAUCAGUAGCCGGCCUGAGAGGGUGAACGGCCACAUUGGGACUGAGACACGGCCCAAACUCCUACGGGAGGCAGCAGUGGGGAAUAUUGCACAAUGGGGGAAACCCUGAUGCAGCGACGCCGCGUGAGUGAAGAAGUAUUUCGGUAUGUAAAGCUCUAUCAGCAGGGAAGAAAAUGACGGUACCUGACUAAGAAGCCCCGGCUAACUACGUG